rnacentral:rRNA from 1 species
AGUCGAGCGGGGAAGGGUAGCUUGCUACCUGACCUAGCGGCGGACGGGUGAGUAAUGCUUAGGAAUCUGCCUAUUAGUGGGGGACAACAUUCCGAAAGGAAUGCUAAUACCGCAUACGCCCUACGGGGGAAAGCAGGGGAUCUUCGGACCUUGCGCUAAUAGAUGAGCCUAAGUCAGAUUAGCUAGUUGGUGGGGUAAAGGCCUACCAAGGCGACGAUCUGUAGCGGGUCUGAGAGGAUGAUCCGCCACACUGGGACUGAGACACGGCCCAGACUCCUACGGGAGGCAGCAGUGGGGAAUAUUGGACAAUGGGCGAAAGCCUGAUCCAGCCAUGCCGCGUGUGUGAAGAAGGCCUUUUGGUUGUAAAGCACUUUAAGCGAGGAGGAGGCUACUUGGAUUAAUACUCUAGGAUAGUGGACGUUACUCGCAGAAUAAGCACCGGCUAACUCUGUGCCAGCAGCCGCGGUAAUACAGAGGGUGCGAGCGUUAAUCGGAUUUACUGGGCGUAAAGCGUGCGUAGGCGGCUUUUUAAGUCGGAUGUGAAAUCCCUGAGCUUAACUUAGGAAUUGCAUUCGAUACUGGGAAGCUAGAGUAUGGGAGAGGAUGGUAGAAUUCCAGGUGUAGCGGUGAAAUGCGUAGAGAUCUGGAGGAAUACCGAUGGCGAAGGCAGCCAUCUGGCCUAAUACUGACGCUGAGGUACGAAAGCAUGGGGAGCAAACAGG